rnacentral:lncRNA from 1 species
CCCGCGGCGCCCCGGCCCCGAGCUCCUCCAUUUAAUCGGAUUUGGGAGAAGGGGAGGAUAAAUCACGGCAGCAGCUUUACGGUCCCGGAGGAGAGGCGAGCCGCAGCCAGGCACACCCCGGCCGGCGAUAAAAACCGCCGCUGAAAGCCCACGGAGCAAUUUCCCGGGACCCCGAGCGACGCCAUUACAGGAAUGUAAUUUUGCCCGGAUGAGGCCCCGAGUUUAAUUAUCCUCGCGGAGGAAUUUCAAUGCGGCCAAUCCAUCUUGCAGGCGGGCGGCAGAGGGAUUUAUAUGGGCCCGUUAUUUCACACCGAUCCUCCAUCUGCAUUUUUAUGGCCCUGAGCUUCUGAAAGGGAGGGGAAGGAGUAGGGAGAAAUCGGAGAAGCGGGCGAGGAGGAGAAGAGUGGGAGACUUCCCGCCUUUCCUAAAUCUAAGAUUCCAGCUCGAGAAUGAAGAUUCUCACUGGUUCCCCUGAAAUGCCCAGAUCUCUCUCCAGUUCCAGUUGUUGACUCAGGGUGAGGUUGUGGGUAGGUGAGAAAUGGAACUGGUAUCCUUGGGAAUCACUCAACAGGUCUACCAAGCGGUGCCAGACACAGGCCAUCUCCGGGACCUCAUUUCUGCCUAGCAACAUCACAACCAAUCAAGAUGCAACUAGGCCUGGCAGUUCGGCUCAUCCUUCACUGGGAUUGGCUGCUGGCGGUGAGCGCAUCCUAAGUUUUCAUUGGCUGACGGCCACCUGUAUGGAAAUGAGAAUGACAGGGGACUCUCAGCGCCUUCUCUGCUACGUGGACCUGUGGCUUACUGCACUGAAACCUGCAAGCUCAGAGCCAGAACUCCUGGGCUUUUUUCUGCCUUCUCUCCU